rnacentral:lncRNA from 1 species
GGAAGGAUACCGGGGUCUAUUUGGAAACAGCCUCUCUACCCUAAGGUGGAGGUAAGGUCUGCGUACACACUACCCUCCCCAGAUCCCACUAAAUGAGAUUAUACUGAGUUGUUGUUGUUGUUGUUGAUGCUUCAGUGCCUUGCUGGUUACACUUUCUUUUAAUAAAAAGAGUUUGGAUCUUCUAUAAUAAAUUCGAAAUUAUUCUAAUUGAAAAUAAAAAAUAAAGAUAAAUUAGGUAUGAGAGGUCUUCUUUUCUUUCUCGUAUCGUUCCAAUUUUAUCGAAUAUCCCUGUAAAAAUGAUGAUUGGUUUUUCUUUCCGAACAAAAGGUUGAUUUAGAAGGGAAGUCUUAGAACAACAGAUAAGUUGCCUCCAUGUGAGUGACCUAUAGGUUACAAGUUCGAGUCGUGAAAUCAGCCAUUGAUACUUGCAUCAGAGUAGGCAGCCUACAUCACUCCUCUUAAGAUACGGCCCUUCCUUGAAUUCACUGUGAACGGGGAUACUUCAUGCACGCUGCCUUUUUUUUUUUGUUGGUUUAACAAGAAAAGAGAUAGUCUUUUUGUAUCUAUUCAGAAGAAUAUUUCUAAAAUUAAACUUAAGGGUCUUGCAAUUAUCUUCCUUUUCUUUAGUCACAAGGCUAGAUAUCAAAACCCCAUUUUAGAUCAACAAGAGGGCAGCCCAAAGUUGAAAACUUAACCAAGUUAUUGUUGCUGCAACAAUAAAUUAGAACAGUAAAUGCUAGCAAAAAUUGGUUGUUUCUUUUAGAUUUCUUGUUAGGUAUUUUGCAGUUCACUGUCUUCAUAGCUUUCCAGUGAAUUUGUUAGUUAUAUUUACUUAUUCCUUGCUAGGCUGCUAUCUUUAGCUGAAAUUGGGCAGCCUCAUUUAUUUCCAAUGACACAUCAUUGAAUUUUCAUUCUCCCUUUGACUUCUCCACACAUAGGGCUAUGUCAUUUGUGUUCAUUCUGUCCCUUGCUUUGCUUGUGCCAGCUGCCUAACGGUAAAAAAUUUACUCGCAUCACGUAUUUAAGAUUCAAGAAUUAAUCUAAAAGGUCGUUCACCCAAUCACUUAAAAUUAAAAAUAAUCGAUUGAGAUAUAAUAUAAGCACAUGUUAUGCAUUUUAUAUAUAUAAUUGUAUAUAAUUAAUGUAUAAUUUAUGUACAUGACUAGAACAAAUAAACAAUAAAUAUGGCCGGCUAUUUACGAAAAAAUCCCGCCAAAUCAUUUAAGGUUAAGAAACUUAAAUAUUAUAAUGAUUUUACAAAUUUGUUGGAAUAUUAUAUCAUCCAUCUUUAAAUUCCUAUUAAAGAUAAUGCUACGAAACGAAUUUUCUCUCUAUAUAUUGGAUAAUAGAAAUGUUCUUAUUUCGAUGCCCUAUCUCUUAUUAUGUGGUUAAGGGCAAUUAAUACUAUAAAAAGUGAAUAGUGAUAAUGAACUCUGAAACCAAAUGGGCAUUUGCAAACAUGAUGAAAGAUAAUCCAAAGUUCCACGUUAGCCUUCUUGCAAGAAAACGAUUGUGGUAAAGUGCAAUGGCUUUCUAUGUGUUCUUUCAUCUUGUAAUAAGAGAUUGAAUUUGAGAUUUGAACUUUAUGGGUUUGGGCUCGAAUUCCGAUCUCAUUUUCUUUUUAGUCCGUUUAGAAAAGAAUAAUACAUUUAUAUAUUUCCAAACAAUUUAACUUUAAUAUUUUUUCAUUUUACUCACUUUGUCAAGUCAAACACAUCAUCUAAAUUGAAAUGAAGGGAGUACUAAUUUUGGUCAUUAAAAAAAAAAAAAAAAAUAUAUAUAUAUAUAUAUAUAUAUAUACACACACACACACACACACUGGAUCGAGCAACCGCAACUGAGUUGGACUCCACAUCUGCACAGGUUGUAAUGCAGAAUGGGCAGCCCCUCCCUAGAGCCCAAAUGCUUUAACCACACACUCUUUCUCCAGUAAUUUACAACUUUAACAAGGUGCAAGUCCAAAUAAUGGCCCAAAAUUAAUACGAGUAUUACUGAAGGAUAGCAAUAGGACUUGCAGGGAAGAUUUUUGGCAAAUUCAUCUAUUCUUGGAUUCGAGAAUAGCAAACUGGAGAGCAUGACACAACAAAAUCUAGUGUUUCUACCUCACUUCAAAAUAGGGUAUUAAAGACCGGCUAUUCUGUGAUUUCAUCAGCUAAAAGUCCCUCACAAAUCCAAAGUCUUCAUAAUAUAGCCGAUCUUUAACACAUUGUCGUGCUGCCUGCUAUAAGAUGUCGCUGAUAGUACAAGGCAAAUUUGAGGAAGUAUCACCUCCUCAAUAAACCAUUGACAUGAUGUUAGUCUCUUUCAUUCCUUGGCAGUUUUGGGGACACAGCCAUUCUGCUAUUUAUCCUAGUAAAAGAAUAGACACCCCAUUAAACAGCAUAGAGGGUUUGAUCAUGUGCAAAGCCCUCUGAGAAGGAUGCAUACUCCAAAAAUGAAAGAAAUCCAGUACUACAAGAGGGGGAAACCACGUCAAAAUGACUAAUCUGAUUGCAAAUUUGGAAACUCAGUUCAGGUUAAAGGAAUACAUCAACACAAAAAUCUUCCUCUUAAUCAUCCACAAAACCAGGUUCUGAAAUUACAUUCUUCAACUCUUGAGCUUUUUCAUCAUUAAAGCCCAAUGCAGACAAUAUCUUAUAACCUGGUGAUCCUACUUGUGACCACACCCCAAGGAGCAAAUGAGUAGUUGUAAUUUCCCCAUUGUCACCUGCAUUUUCAUAAACAACAAUCAAAUAACCAAGAACAUUUUCACUUUCUUCUGCCAAAACAAAUAAACUUGGUGAUCCUUGAUCUGAUGCUUUUUAGCACAUCACUACAUUUGGCUAUUUCCAUUUUCCACUAAGUUAUAAAAUUUUCAUAAAUUUUCAUCUAAUACGACAAAAAGAAAGAAAACUUUGAAGAAGGGCUUGAGGACAAGAGAAACAAAUUUUGGAAAGAUUCAGCUGUUAUAGAAUCCAUAACCACUAUAGAUUGACUAAACCGCCAAGGUACCCACACAGAAUAUACCCCUCUUUUCUUUCUUUUUAGUGAUAAGUAUGUAGAAACAGAAAAUGUCAUACAUUCUAAUAGUUGAUUUUUCACAACUAGGGUUAGGUUGUAACUAUGGACUUGAAAAGCGAUAUGUUCUAAUGGAGGUUAUGAAUUUCCAAGUUCAGUCUGCACUUUGUGCACUUUUGAAUAUUUUGUUUCAUUUUCUAUCUUAUUUUUCGUUAUCUUUCUAUGCUCAUCUAGUCAAAUUUAAAUUUCACUCGAGUAGAAUAAAAAACUAAAACCAUGCUAGACUCCUUCAACUUUGCGCUUUGAUUACCAAGGAAUAGAGACUUCACAAAUAAAGCCCAAGGAUUGGCAUUCCAUUGCUGUCAUUUUUUUAUGUAUAUGGGUACAACUAUCUUCGCUCUCAAUGUGCCCUAUGAUGUAGCGCCCGGCGGGCUGUUAGCUAGUGUGUAUCAUUUUACGAGAAUAGAGGAUGGUGUGGAUCAACCAAAAGAGGUAUGCAUAUAAUAUGUUGGGAAUCUCGUAUGAUAAUCAUCCACGCUUGAAACACAUCUUAAUGCCUGAAAGUUGGAUAGGAUGGCCCUUUCGUAAGGAUUAUAUUGCCCCCAAUUCAUAUGAAAUACAAGAUGCUCAUUGAAUGAUAAGAAAGCUAUUUCCACUUAGACAGUUUCAAAUAUUCAAGGAUUGCACGUUUUGUUCUAGAUUAAGCAGGUCUAAUUAGGGAAUUAUCGAUAGUCUAACAAAAAAGGACAAUUAGGGAUUCAUUGGAAUUCUCACAUUUAUUUGGAAGAUACUUAUUUUGGAUAGGUCACACCAAUAUGAUGAACCAAAUGAGUUCUGCAUCAUGAACUUUGUACUGCGCACAUUACUUAGACGGGUUCUUUUUUUGAUGAAGUAAGAUGUUUCAUUGAAUGCAUCAAGAAGAUGCCAUAAAAUUACAAAGAGAGAGUCCUUGGCUAACUCUGUAAAGACAAAAUAACCUAUAAGACAUGAGUUAGCCAUGACCAAAAUCAAAAGAGGCAUUAUGCCAUGCUAAAGGAGCUAAUAAAAUCUAAAAGGGAAAUGACAUCAUUCACAGGGGAAAGGUAGCUUCAACUAAACAAAUUCACUAGACAUUUAGACUUCAAACGGCUGGUGGAAGUUGAGAUGCCUUCAAAACAUUUGGAAUUCCUUUCUGUCCAUAUACUCCAGCAGAUAUAAGCUGGGAUCAUUUGCUUGAUGGAUUUCUCAACUUUCCAGGAGCACCAGCCAUCAAAUGCAUCUCUGAUGUCCAAAGGUAUUGCCCAACUGAGUUCAUAAAAUGCUAAGAACAUGUUUCAGAUAUCAUAUGCCACUAGACAGUGCGAAAAAAGGUGAUUUACUGAUUCAGGGUUGCUGCAACACAUGUAAUAUCUAUUGACCAGUUGGAUGCUACUUCAGCAUAGAUUGUCAUGUGUUAGUGUAGCAUUCCUGAGGGCAAUCCAGGAGAAACAAAUAACUUUAGUGGGUAGUUUUGAUCUCCAAAUAUGUUUCCAUGGCCAAUUGUCAAUCAUUCCAUCAGGUGCACACAGUUUGUUAUACCCUGCCUUCACUGUGUAUAUACCCUUGCUGGAGUUGCCCCAUCUUAGCCUGUCUGUAGUUUGACUGUCUAUGGAAGAACCUUCAAUGAUUCUGAAAAGAUCAAAGAGUUCCACUAGUUCCCAGUCCUGCAGGUUCCUUCUGAAAAGUGGUUCCCAUAAGUUCCCUGUUCUAUUUUGCGCAAUUGAUGAGUCAGGAUCCAAGGCUAUCUGGAAAAUGCCUGGGUGUGUGUCUCUAAAGGUUGGGGCAGGAUCCACCUAUCCUUCCAGAAUUUAACAAAUCUGCCAUCCCCUACUUUGAAGUUUACCGCUUGAAAGAAUUCCUGUUUUAAGCUGUUGAUAUACUUCCAGGGCCCAACACCAUGUGGAGCUCUGCUUUGUUUGGUGCUCCAGUUGUCCAACUUCCCAUACUUAGCCGUCACCACCUUCUUCCAUAUGCAAGAAUAUUCUUGAGCAUACCUCCACCACCACUUCAAUAAAAGGCUCCUAUUGUACUUUUGGAGAUCCCUAACUCCUAGACCACCUUAAUGCUUAGGCAUGAUUACUUUGGACCACUUAACCAAAUGAAACUUGUGAUCUUCACUAUUGCCCUCCCAUAGGAAUGAUCUUCUGGCUUUGUCUAGCUGCUUUUUGACUCUGCUUGACAUAGGGAAGAGGGACAUGAUAUAAGUAGGAAUGUUGUCCAUGACAUUUUUAAUCAGCAUUAAUCUUCCCCCCCCCCUAUUGAUAAAUACUGCAUUUUCCAAGAAGCCAAUCUUUUUUCUACCUUUUCAAUGACUCCAUUCCAAACUUCAAUUGUUUUGUGCUUUGCUCCCAAGGGAAGCCCUAGGUAAGAUGUUGGGAAAGACCCAAUGCUACAGCCCAUUAUCCCAGCCAGUUCCUCUAAGUUAGUCACCUCAUUCACUGAGUAUAUCACACGUUUUGUCAUGUUGAUGUGUAACCCUGAGAUAGCUUCAAAAUUAGGAGUGUCAAGUUGAGAUACCGGACUUGAAGCUUGUCAUCCCCACAGAAAAUUAGAGUGUCAUCUGCAUACAAAAAAAGGGAGACUGAAACUGAUAGGUGUGAGUUAAUACCCAUCUUGAACCCUUCAAUCCAAAUACUGUAUUUUCCAAGAGGCCGUCUUUUUUCUACCUUUUCAAUGACUCCAUUCCAGACUUCAAUUGUUUUAUGCUUUGAUCCUAAGGGAAGCCCUAGGUAAGAAUUUGGGAAAGACCCAAUGCUACAGCCCAUUAUCCCAGCCAAUUCCUCUAAGUUAUCCACCUCAUUCACUGAGUAUAUCACACUUUUUGACAUGUUGAUGUGUAACCCUGCGAUAGCUUCAAAAAUUAGGAGUGUCAAGUUGAGGUACUGGACUUGAAGCUUGUCAGCCCCACAGAAAAUUAGAGUGUCAUCUGCAUACAACAAAUGGGAGACUGAAACUGAUAGGUCUGAGUUACUACGCACCUUGAACCCUUCAAUCCACUGCUCUUGCUUAGCCUUGUCAAACAUUUUGCUCAACCCUUCCAUAGCUAAGAUGAAGAUUAAGGGAGACAAAAGGUCUCCUUGCCUUAUUCCCUUCUGAGGAGCAAAGAAUCCUACUGGAGAUCUGUUUAUUAGGAUAGAGUAUUUAACAGUGGUAAGGCUAAAUUUGAUCCAUCUAAUCCAUCUCUCACCAAAUCCCAUUUCUUUCAGUAAGUUCAGUAGGUAAGACCAGUUGACCUUAUCAAAAGCUUUCUCUACAUCUAGCUUGCAAAGAAUUCCCGGGAUCCCUCUCUUUAAUCUUUCAUCCAGUAAUUCAUUUGCUACAAGGGAAGCAUCAGUGAUUUGCCUGUUUUUCAAGAAUGCAUUUUGCUCCUCAGAAACCAACUUCCUAUCACUGUCUUCAAUCUUUCUGCUAAGAGUUUGGCUAUUAUCUUAUACACACUCCCAAUGAGACUUAUGGGUCUGAAGUCUCUGAGUUCUAUUGCACCUUUCUUUUUGGGAAUUAGAGUGAUGAAUGAUGCAUUACAUGACCUUACCAUGUAGCAAUGCUGGUGGAAGCGAUUAAGAGCCCCCAUUAAGUCUAGUUUGAUAAUCUCCCAAGAAUGCUGAAAAAAAAAGCCAUUGUGAAACCAUCGGGACCUGGGCUUUUGUCAGGAGCACAUGAAUUGAUUGUUGCCUUCACUUCAUCUUCUUCAAAUGAUCUUUCCAGCCAUGUCUUCUCCUCCACAUUGAGUGUAGCUAAGUUUUCAAACUUAUCCCUAGGUCUCCAUGGUUCACUUUCAGUGUAGAGAUCUUGAUAGAAAUUCAGGAUUUCAGCCUUAAUUUCCUCAUUAUCUUCACAGAUGUCUUCCCCUAUCAUCAGCUUAUCUAUACAGUUAGUUCUUCUGUUAGAGUUUGCCAUUUUUGGAAGAAUUUGGUGUUCCUGUCUCCUUCUUUGAGCCAUAGGCAUCUGGACUUUUGCCUCCAAGAGAUCUCUUCCGCCUUUGCCAUUCGUUGUAAUUCCAUUUUCAUGUGCAUUGAUUUCUCUUUUUCUUCUUGAGUCAUCAAUCUGCCUUCAGUUGCUGAUUGUAGAAGAGCUAGGUAUUCUAGAGUUUUAGUCUUCCUUGCUUCCGACUGGCCAAAAAAUUCCUUAUUCCAGCUUGUUAUGUCCUUUUUUAGAUAUUUAAGCUUCUGCAAAAGGAUUAAGUCUAGGCUGCCAUCGACUGAGUAUCCAAGCCACCAUUCCUUGACUUUGUCUAAGAAGCCAUCAGCCUGAAGCCACAUAUUUUCAAACUUAAAAUAUGAUGGGUUGGCUGCCCAAUCUCCACAUUCCAAAAGCAAAGUCCUGUGAUCAGAGACAACUUUGGGAAGGGCUAGUUGCUUGAUUGCAUUGAAGCUGUCAUUGGGUUGGCUGCCCAAUCUCCACAUUCCAGAAGCAAAGGCCUGUGAUCAGAGACAACUUUGGGAAGGGCUAGUUGCUUGAUUGCAUUGAAGCUGUCAUUCCAUUCUGGGGAGAUGAGGAACUUGUCUAUUCUGGAUGCCUGGAGUGAAUCUUCACCUCUAAGUAUAGUGGGCCCCCUGAAGAGGCAGGUCUAUGAUUCCCAAUUCUUGGAUGAUAUCAGAGAAGGAUUUCAUGGCCUAGAUCUUCUUAUGCAAUUAUAUCUUUCACUCUCAAAUCUACAAACGUUGAAAUCACCCCCUAUGACCCAUUGCUCAUUCCAUAUUCCCCAGAUUGCUGCUAGUUCUUGCCAAAAAAUCUCCCUAUCUGAGUUGUUGUGAGGCCCAUAGACCCCUGUGAAGCACCAUCUGAAGUCCUCCAAUGCACUUUCAAACAUACAUGUAAUUGUAUAAUGGCCUUGGUGUAUCUCUAUGUUCAGUCAUAUCCUUUUAUCCCACAAAACAAUGAUGCCCCCACUUCUGACUGUUGAUUUUAAAACUGCCCAAUCGACCCAUCUUUAUCCCAAACUUGUCUAAUCCAUAGUAUAGACCAUUCUUCAAUUUUUGUUUCCUGAAGACACACUAUAUCCGCUCUCCAUUUAUGAAUUAGUGACUUAAUUGUGCUCCUCUUUUCUGCCUCGUUAAGGCCCCUAACAUUCCAACUUAAUAUUUUGAUUUUCAUCCAGAAAAGGCUUUGUAUUGCUUGUCCCUUUCCCCAACCUUCCUUCCUUCGUAAUUUAUACCCCAUCGUAGUCUUUCCAACCCUAGAGACUGCUUUCUCUUUCCUUUUGAAAUGGUCUUGAUUGCAGAUUUGUUUUUGGAUUUGUUCUUGUCUUUUAUGCUCCAUUCUAAGAAUCAUAUCGAAUAUUUCAUGUUCGAAACCUGCCACAUUAACACCGAAGACCUUGCAUGCUUUUAACAACACUGAUUUGGUCCAUCUUGAAGUUUCAAUUAUUGCUGGAGUUCCCAAUUCUCGAGAGUUUGGUUGGUCCAUACCAUGCCAAGGGAGAGGCAAUGUCUCAGGAGAGGAGAGGUCUGCUUCGGAGCUACUUACCACUCCAAAAGAGUUAUUCGAGGGAGAUCUUGGUAUUAUCUGAUUCAUAGGCUCAGCUUCAUCAUCAGCUUCAGUGAGGGAAUCACAUGCAAAGAUUUCUGGCCUGAGCUCUGAACGUUGGACAUCUUCUGACGCUUCAAUUUCAGCAUAAAGGGGGUCAAAUCUGUUUGUAAAUGGUAUUGGGGUUUUUGGCCUGAGCUCUGAACGUUGGACAUCUUCUGACGCUUCAAUUUCAGCAUAAAGGGGGUCAAAUCUGUUUGUAAAUGGUAUUGGGCUAUUACGACUUGAGCAAGGGUCAAGAAGAGACUCAACAGGCUUCCAUAUUUUCCUAUUGGGUCUAUCGGAAUUUGUGAUUUGUGACUUUGGGCCUUUUGGGCCUUUUGAGUAGUAAGAGUGAUCCAAGUUCCGACCCCACCUCCUACUCCCCUCAUCACUUUUUUAUUGGGCUGGGAUAGUGGAAUCCUACGUGGCAGAUUCCCCACUUUGGCAUGUGACUCAUUAAAUGAGUUUGAAUUAAAAUACGGGUUCUAGAAAGGCAUAUAGGAAGGAAUGGAGAAAUUCGGAAUGAAGAAAUCGAAUAUGAAAGAAAAGACAAAGAAAUGAGAGAAUAUCGGAUUUCUUUGGAUCUGAGGUAAAUCUUGUCUAUUUCAACCCCCCUAGAUUCGGAUUCGACUUUUGAGCCUUUCAACAAUUAACCAAUUUAACCUUCCGAAUAUGUAUUACGUAUUCAAAUUCGGUGGAACGAGAGGAGAAAAAAAAAAGAGAUAGAAUCCAAUUCUUCAGAUACUUUAUCUAAGAAACUCUACCCAUCUAGGCCUAGAACAUAGAUGGAGUAUAUCUCGCCAAACUGGAUAAAGCUAUUAUUCUAAUCUAGACUGUAAAAGAAUAUGUAUGUUGAUUCACAUCAAUUAAUUAGAGAUUAAUUCGACUUAAAGAUCUUGUGAUUCAUGUAAAUACUUAACACGUCCAAGCAGGAAUUAACAGGAUACUUAUGAAAGCAGAGAGAUGCAGCAAUCCAACAACCAUGUGUAAAAUUGAGUGGGAGAAUACACAUACUGGAUUUGAGUUUUUCAUCAAGUGCCCAAUCAAGAGCCUUUUGUGCAUCUUCAGUCAAAGGAGGAUGCUCGGGACUGAAAAACCACAUGUCAGCUUUUCCAAGUACUUUGAUAGUUUCUUCACGUACUUUAAAGAGAGUAAUGCUGUUCGCCCUCAAAUAUUUUGAAGCAAAAUUUGUCCCUGCAAAUGUUGGAAGUAAAUAAACAUUCUAACAUGAUUUAGCAGCAGAAUGAACAUUCAUGGAAGCUACUUCACCAAAAUGAUUAAAGCAGCUUAAAUCACAGUCGAAGUGUAAGCAAAUUACUGAAAGACCCCUUCUAUCAAUUAAAUAUCUUCUUAUAUUAUCUCUGACAAUACUAUAAAAAUAUGCAGUCAUAAUCUCUAAAUGUUGCUUCAGCCUUCAGUAUGUAUCUGAAUUAUAUUUGAGGUGGAAAGUGUCCUUAAUACACAUAAGCUAAAAUCGACGAAGUGACAUUUCCCAUCAUCUUAUAAGUGCUAUAUCUCGACUUCGACAAGCCACAUUGUUCGAAGACAUAAGCUAAAAUCCAGAGAAUUGCCUAUCCAAUUAACUUCCAAUCAUGUGCCGACCAAUUUCUUUUUGGUUCCUCUAGAAAGCAACUAAUAUCAGAAGCCAAAGCACUUAUAUAUUUCACCUCAAUAACCUCCCAACCCAACUGAAAUAUUUCCACAUAUUAAAAAUCUUGUACAUAUCACAAUGUUGUAUAGCAAAUGUCAUGUCCACUAAAUGUACUAAAAUGUAAAAUGGCUUUGACAACUACAUAAUGUUAUUGGGUAGGUUCUGUAAGGUGUCGGAUUUUAGAAGAGUAAUCUCAUUCAAGGAUCAGUCAAUCAAUGAAUGUAUAAAAGGAUUAGAUGGACCCAACUACACUGGAGUUCCCUAGACUAAGUAAGUGUUCUAAACAUGCAAAACCUGAAAUACCUCCUCUUACUAAAAUCUCUAGCAAAUCCAUUGUUAUAAGAUAUGUCACAUUCUCAAAUUAAAGAAUGAGCGCAACAUGGAAUUAACUUCUGAUAGUUUAUUCAAGUGUUAGUUUGAUUAAUUAGCAUCACGAGUAACAAAAAGUAAAGAGCUUCCUUUCCGUUUACAGGAUCGAAUAGAGCAUCUCUACCAAAACAAAUAAAUACUUUCUUAGGGAAGGGAUAAAUUAACAAACCUUCAAUCAAAAUUCCCAUGAGAAGAGCUUCUGUUCCAGUAGUGGGAUAUUUAAGUUUUCUUGCUUCCAAUUCACCCAUGGCAAAUGAUUUUAUUGCCUUUGACGACCAUCUAAAAUUUCAUUCACCCAUUUCAAGAUACCUCAAAACAAAUCCAAAUACCAACAGAUAAACAAACACAAGAUAAACAAUAAUACAAAUCAAACCACCAAUAUAGCCCGAAAAUCUCCUCCUCCUUUCCGGGGCAGCCAAAGAAACAAAACAAGAAAGAAAAAGGUAAAUACUCACUUAGGAAUUUUCUCUGCAGAUACUGCAGCCUCUGACUUCCUGCAAUAACAAAAUGAAGCUAGGGUGUUAUCUUUAUAGCACUGAUUCAAAUUUGAUUAACAGAGAAAUUAUACAAUCAACCAAUAAACUACACGUCAAUCCUAAAUGAGUUGGGUCAACUACAUGAAUCCUAUACAUCCACAUCCUCUCUAUUCGAGCCUAUCUCAUUUUAAUAUAAAAUACUCCCUCUGUCCCAAUUUAUGUAAUACACUUUCUUCUUAGUCUAUUCCAAAAAAGAUACAUUUCUAUGUUUAGAAAAAAUUAAAUCUAAACUUCUCAUGUUACAUGAUUUAUAGUUAUACAAAUAUGGCUUGAUUAGACAACAAGUUUCAAAAUUCUUUCAUUCUUUCUUAAACUCCAUGCUUCAUAAAAUGGGACAGAGAGAGUAGAUUAUACUUUUAGAGAAAAUUAGAGAUUCUCCAAAUCAAACCCUUAUCCAUAGACAAACAAUUACUUCAAUUAAAACUACUUAAUAUAGUCUUAACCCCAAAAAAGGCACAAAGAGGAAACACUUUAUAUGAGAUAAAUGCAAGAAUGAGCAAAGGGUAGGUGUUAGAACUUACCCAUAAGGAAGGCUAAAGGAGACAGUAGCUUUAAUGGGGCAAUGUUUUGUAAGAAAUGGUUUGAAAUUGUUGGACUGAAGAGAGAUUUUGAUUGGAGUACCAAGCCAUUGACUAUGCAAAUUUUGUGGGUUUGUUGUACAGAUAGACGAAUUGGGUCCUACUCUGUAAUUGAGCUGGUUGAUGCCAUUUGAAGUGGCUGCCACUGUGGAGAGAGCAGCCAUUUUUGCGGCAAGAUUCUGCUCCAAUCUGAGAAAAUGGGUUGAAUAGUUGGACCUUCUUUCUGGUUGGGAUGAUGAGAUGAUAAGAAACGACGACAUUAAUUGACCUUGGGCUUUUGCGUCUCUUAUGGGCUUAAGCGAGUCUGGCCCAUUAUACUAGCCAGCUUUCCGACUGAUAAUUGAAAGAUGAGAAUUUUUCAUAAAGUAUCAUCUUUUAGUGCUAAUUAAUCAUUAAUAGAAAUCUUUUGCUAUAUUACGUCUUAUAGAUAUCUUUUUAAUGUAUUUAAUGUAUUCAAAGUGUUGUAUUUAAUAAUACAUCACAAAAGAUCAGCGUACAAACAGGAAUGCCAGCUAAUCGCAGAUAUGUAUUUACAUGUAUUCAAGCGCUAUUAACGCUAAAUACAUAACGGAUCUGCGAAAGAUAUGGAACGAUAAAACUUUUAAAAAUGGAAGGGAAUCAAAUCAAUUUUGAUUUCCCUAAUUUUACUCAAAAAAACAUAUACUCCAUGAAUUUAUAUUUUUCUGAAGUUAACAAACCCAGAAAGAAGCGAAAAAACAAAGCAAGAGUCGUCAAAUUUGUGCGAUUUUCUUCUUCUUCUUUCUGAUUGAUACAGUACAAAAAAAUUUCUAUACAAAAGACUCUAUAACUCUUUUAUAGAGAUGGCAAGCUUGACAGUUUUAUUGCAUCAUUCUGGAAAGUGGAACAAUGAGGGGAAUUAUAUCGAUUUUUCCAUUGAGGAAAUCCUAAUUAAGGGGUAUACCUCCUUUAAUGAUCUAGUUGCUUCAAUUUCCACUCAACUGGGUAUAGAUUUGAGCACAAAUACCAUUAAAAUUCAAUACAAUGUUGAAGGAAAUCGCACACCAAUGGAAAUACAUAAUGAUAUGGGUUUGAGAGUGAAUGUAGAAAUGAAGAAAGACAACAGAGAAUUUGGGAUGUAUCCUUUGUGCAUAACAACUAUGGAAAAAGAGCUUAUCUCCGGAGAUGGUUUAAAUCAAGGCGACAUUGCGCAGAUAGACGAAGCAGUUCAAAGGUACGAUUCCGAUACAGAUGAUAUACUGGCUAUAGAACUUGCCAAUUUAGGAGAAGCUGAGUGUUCGAACUCCACAAGGAUUUGAUAAUCUCAAAAACUGAUCAAAAGGAGGUUAUGGCUGGACAAAUUUAUUAGGAUAAGGCUACAUUGAAAGAAGUGAUGGAGAAUUAUGCUAUAGCUCAAAAGUUUCGGGUUGAUCGGUCUAAUGCUGUCAGGUUUGAUGUUUGUUUAACUUUGUUGUAUUUUAGUUGUAUUUGAGUGUUACCUCCAGAUGAUGAACACGAAUGACAAUUUAUAUUUGAUUAGUAUUCAUAAUUAUAUGUAUUCAUAUGUAUUUGACUGUUGGAAAAAUUACAACACUAGCUUUAAUUAAUUUAGAAUUAUAACUACUAUUCUGUUAAGUGCUUGUAAAUUCAUUCGAAUGUAUUUACGUGUAUUAAUUGUAUUUAUUCACAUAAAACAAUAUUGGAAUUGGUUUGCAUACCAAAUUACAUAUACAGAGAGUUUAAUUUGGUACUUUAUUACUAGGUAGUAUAUUAUGUCAUAUUCGUUAAGUUGUCUGAUGUCUAUUAUUUAUUUUCCAGCUAUGCAUUAAUAUGUAUUUCAGAAGAUUUUGAUUGGAGGUUUAAGGCUUCAAGCAUAAACAAAUCGGAGUUAUUCAAGGUGAGAGAAUUCAAUGACAAUCAUACAUGUCCUCUGAAGGAUAAAGUGUAUGAGCAGCGGCAAGCUAGUAGCAGCCUUAUAAGUGGUAUUAUAAGGCCAAAGCUUACAAACCAUAAGAGGAAAUACAUGCCGAGGGACAUUAUUGAUGAUGUGAAAUCAGAUUUAGGUGUAGAUGUUAGCUACAUGUUGGCGUGGAGGGCUAAAGAAAAGGUAAUGAAUUUUCUUAGAGGUGAACCGGCAGAUUCAUACAUAAAAUUAACGGGAUACUUAUAUACAAUGGAUAAGACAUAUCCAGGUUCUCACAUCAGAAUGGAAAAAUCGUCAAAUAAUGAAUUCAUGUACGUGUAUAUUUCAUUAUAUGCCUUUAUAAGGGGGUUUCAUCAUUGUAGACCAAUUGUUGUUGUGGACGGAAGUCACCUAAAAUCAUACUACACCGGGACAUUCGUUUCUGCAAUCACGUUAGAUGGUGCAGGUGAAUACAUCAAUAAUAAUACAAUUUGUUAAUAUUUAAAGCUAUUGGAAAGCAUGUAUUUAGAAACAAUUAUAUUCAAUUGUAUUUAACAGGUCAUAUAUUGCCACUAGCAUAUGGUGUUAUUGAUUCAGAGAACGAUGCUGCUUGGACGUGGUUCUUUGAGCAAUUCAAGAUAGCAUACGGUGUAAGGGAAAACAUGUGCAUUGUUUCGGAUAGAAAUGAGAGUAUCAUUAAAUCUGUAUCGAGGGUAUAUCCUGAUGUACCACAUUUUGCUUGCAUAUGGCAUCUAUGGAAUAACGCAUACAAGAAAUUCAAAAAGAGUCAUGCCAAGUUGAGUGAGAUAUACUUCUCGAUGGCAAAAGCAUACACACAAACUGAAUUUGAUAGUCUGAUGGAGAAGUUUGAGAAGGUAGACAUUAGGGUGAAAGAAUACUUAGAGUUAGCUGGUUAUGAAAGUGGGCUUCAAUACUGAGAAGGUGGAGAAGGUAGAUAUUAGGGUGAAAGAAUACUUAGAGUUAGCUGGUUAUGAAAAGUGGGCUAGGUUGUAUGCACCUGUUAACAGGGGAUGGACAAUGACGUCAAAUAUUGCUGAGUCAAUCAAUGCAGCACUAGUUUCAGCAAGGGAAUUGCCAAUAUGACUUCCUUGAAGAAGUUAGGAAGAUGUUUGGUCGUUGGAAUUGUAGUAACCGCAAAGAAGCUACUCAGACAUACAAUGGUAAAAAAUACCAGGAAAUGCUGGAGGUGAAUGAGACUAUGUGUACCCGUAUGACUGUAAGUUAAUUUUUAUGAAUAUUUACUUGAACUAGUAAAUUAUAUAGUUGAAUACAGGUAAAUACAUGUGAUGAUUAAGACUGUAUGCCCGUGAUAAUGAUUACAAUGGAAUUCAGUUGAUUGAUAUUGUUUAAAUUGAUUGUAUAUACCUGAAAACAAUUGCUCAAAAAAGGUUGAAUACAAAUGCAAAUACACUUGAAUACAGUUGCAUACAGUUGCUGGAAACGGCUGAAUACAACUGAAAUUGGAUGAAGUUUUAAUUUUCGAAGUUGAUAGUAACCACUUAACUCAGCCGUAUAUAUUUAUUAAUUCAUGUAAAUGUGUUCAAAACUAAUAUUUAUGUUUUUAAAUGUAGGUGGUUCCCUCAACUGAAUAAUUACAUACUGUUAACGAUGGAGGGAGGAAUUACACAGUCUGCCUGCUCGAGAAAAAAUAUGUUUGUUGGAGGUUCCAAGUUGAUGAAUUGCCAUGCCCACAUGCCUGGGCUGUAUUGAAGAGCAAGUUUUUAAUGCCCGAAGAAUAUUGCUCUAGCUAUUACAAGCCAAGUACAAUUGUAAUGAUAUAUGAUGUGCCAGUGUACCCGCUACCUGACAAAAAUGACUGGAAUAUAUCAGAGCAUGUUGCAGAGUAGGUUGUACUACCACCUAAAUGGAAAAGACCUCCUGAAAGGCCAAAGAAGAAGCGCGACAAAAAUUUAAGUGAAUUGUUGUUGCCGAAAAAUCAGCAUUCAUGUAGCAUAUGUGGACAUGGAGGACAUAACAAGCAAACUUGUAGGAAUGCUCCACGUAAUUAAUCGUUAUAUUCUAUCAUGUAUGGGUGAUUCGACAAUUUGUCAACACUUAUUGAUAUAUUAUGAUAUUAUCAGCUAUAAUAUAUUCGUUUUUCAAAUUAAUAUAAUGUGGAACGACUUUCGUUAUUACUAUCGAAUUUUAUUUAGUUCAAGUAUAUUUAUAUAUAUGAACAUGUAUGAAGUGAGAGUAUCUUAGUAUAGUUGAAAUCAACUAUAUCAAAUUCUUAAUACAAGUGAAUAAGGCAUGUUAAUACAGCAUGUUAAUAAGACAGUUUAAUUCAAUUUCCUUUGGAUGAAUACAUUGUAAUACAUUUGAAUAUAUAUCUGGACAGUUGCUUCAACACUUUCAAUUUAACGGACAUUGGAUGAACAUAGUUAAUCCAAUGGUUCAAUAUAUUUGAAGACAACAUGUUCAACAAUGUUGACAAUAGGUUAAUAAUAUAGUUCAAUUAAAUUGUUUAUAGUUGAAUCCUUGUGAAUCACAAAAAGAUACAGUUGAAUACAUGUGAAUAAUACCUCAGAAUACACGUUAAUACAAAUGAAUGGAUACAGCUGAAUACAUCUGUAUGGAUACAGUUGAAUAUACAUGCAUAGCAACUGUACGCAACUGGUCUAAACACAUUAAUACAACUGAAAUGACAUGAGUAAUAUAGGUUAAUACAAUCAACUAAACAGAAUAACACAACUAAAUACAUCUACAUAAUACUGAAAGAUAAAGCUAAUUUUACGCAGCUGAAUACAAUUCAAAAAUUGGCAUUAUCAAAAAUCAUUCAGCAUACAAAAAGUUUCAGAAACAUGUGCGUUAACUAAAACAUGUUCAAGCAAACUUAACCAAAUUUCUUAAUGUAAGUUAAUAGCAUCUACGACCAAAACAACUACAAUCAGUAUCAUUGUUCAAACUAUACUCAAAAACUCAAAAAAGAAAAGCUAUUCUAAAACUAUCUGCAUCUUUGCUUCCGACUCAGAGAUUUGCCUUUCAAUCUUUGAAGGUGCUUCACUCUCGCUUAUUGCACCAGCAUCUAUCUUGCGCAUGGCAUACUCCCAUAACAGAGCACCAUAUCUUUGACGGAGAAGAGUGGCAUCAAAUGGUAUUUUUUGUGUAAUCUCUCCAAUAGUGCUCAGAUACUCCGGGAAUGCUGCAACGUGCACUCCACAAUCCCUAAAAAAUAAUAGAUUGAAACAGAAUAUAAAAUAAUUAAUAUAUUUGUAUAAAAACAAAUAAGAAUGAUGAUUGCAUACUUAGAUGCUGCUUGCUUUCUGUUGAGGCAGAUUUGGAACGAAGAUAACCUCAAAAGGUUCGUUCUGAUCCUUGUUUGUGUAUGCGGGAUAAGCAGACCAGUCAAUGCCUUGACUAUCUAUGUAAAAUCCACUAAUUUACAGAUACAGAGGUAGUAGAUUAGCUAGCUUUACAAUCUCAGAGACUACGUAAGCAUUAUGACCGGAAGACGUGUACGAGUCAUACACUUUGAUACAUCUAUGGAGUAGAAGCCACUAAUUGACAGAUACAAAGGUAGUAGCUUAACUAGCUUUAUAAUCUCAGAGACUACGUAUGCAUCGUGACCGGAAGAUGUGUACGAGUCGUACACUUUGAUACAUCUAUCUUUGAAGGUCACAACAACCAACACCCAAUGAAGUUUUUCCUUCAAGUUCACUAGUAUCAAGAUAUUUUCCACGGUAUGCCAGGGUACAUUAGCAUGCAAUCUGUAGCCCUUAAUAUACUCACAUACAACGUCUUCUUGUUUGGCUACAUUAGCAUCGCUAUCUGUAUCUUCGUACCUGUCAAAUAUCUCAGCUAUUCUUGUCUUGAAAAUACAGUCGAUAAUAGUAAACGUGAAGUCCCUAUGCUGAUUGUACUUGCCCAUCUUUCGCACAUAGUAGAAUAUGACAUCCAUAUGCUAUAAAUAAAAGAGGUUAGUAGAUAGUGUGAGUUUAUUUGCUUGAAGUAAGAAUUAAUAUGUAGGAAUACCUCAAUACAAGUGCUAGAAAAUAUAGAUAUACAUUGUAAUACAUGUUAAUACAAUUGUAUACAGCUUAUGGGAUAGAGUUGAAUUCAACUGACAUUGAAUAAAGACAACUAAUUCAAUUCAUUAAUAUAGAUGAAUAUAAGAAGCUGAGUAGUGUUGAAAAUAAGUUUUUCAUACAGUUUAAGUCAACUGAUUUGGGUAGAAUACACUGUAAUUGAGUUGUAUUCAGGUCUACCAUUGAAACAGUUAACUGCCAUUGGAUGAAUACAUGGAAUUCAACUGUUCAAUCCAUUUGAAUAUGACAGGUUCGAUUCAUUUUACUAUAGCAUAAUAAAAGAGUUCAAUUCAGUUGAACUGUUUGCUCAGUACAUUGGUAAUAACAGGAAAAUUCAGCUGAAUACAACUGUAAACUUGUCCAUUGUACUUGUAGACAAAGCAGUUUAAGGCUCUCAGCCAGACAAACUGCAACUAAAGAUAAGGUGUUCUGGAAUUCGUCCAUAUCACUCAGAAAUAGACAAAUGCCACUGGAAACAUAUAUAUGAUUGACAUGUAAAGAAAUGGAAAUUCCAGACUAAUAUAAAAGUCAUCCUUAAUCACAAAAACAUCACCGAGCUAACAGCUAACCUCAGAUGCAACUGCUUUAGUCAAACAACAACAACCCAGUAUAAUCUCAUUUAGUAGGGUCUGGAGAGGGUAGUGUGUACGCAGACCUUACCCCUACCUUGGGUAGAGAGGCUGUUUCCAAAUAGACCCCCGGCAUCCUUCCCUCCAAGAACUUUCCACCUUUCUCUUGGAGAGACUCGAACUCACAACCUCUCGGUUGGAAGUGGGGGUUGCUUACCAUCAGAGCAACCCCUCUUGUCCAUGCAACUGCUUUAGUCCUCCACUUAUUUUCUCAUAAACGUCAACUAAAUGCAGAGGAGGAAAAGGACAGAAUGAGGUAUCAGUCAUAUAUGAUCUCAGAACAAUUUCUUUCUAAAAUCGCACUACUUCACGAAUUAAUAAUUUAUUAUAUUAACAUUAGUACUAAUUUUUUAGUUCUCAUCACUAAUUUGUAAUGCUUACUGGCUCUAACAAUUAGGAAUUCCAGCUUCAACCUAAUAAUAAACUAAACAAAGUUAAUUCAAGUGCUAGAAAAUAUAGAUAUACACUGUAAUACAUGUUAAUACAACUGUAAUACAGCUUAUGGGAUACAGUUAAAUUCAACUGACAUUGAAUAAAGACAACUAAUGCAAUUCAUUAAUAUAGAUGAAUAUAACAUGCUAGAGUAGUGUUGAAAAGUAGGUUUUGAAUACAGUUUAAGUCAACUGAUUUGAGUAGAAUACACUGUAAUUCAGUUAUAUUCAGGUCUACCAUUGAAACAGUUAACUGUCAUUGGAUGAAUACAUGGAAUUCAACUGUUCAAUUCAUUUGAAUAUGACAUAUUCAAUUCAUUUUACUAUAGCUUAAUAAAAGAGUUCAAUUCAGUUGAACUAUAGCUCAGUACAUUGGAAAUAAAAGGAAAAUACAGCUGAAUACAAGGUAAACCAGUUUUUGAGAAAGACUCACAUUGUUAUCCCAUAACUUCCCGUCAAUGUAUAGAAGGUAACGCCAGUUUUUGGAAUCAACUUGAUCAACUCCAAAAUCCAAUGGAAUGUGAAGUAUGGACUUGUUUUUCUUGUAAUGGUCGUCAAGAUUACCUCUACAAGUAUGAUAUAAAACUCAUUAUGUACAUACCUAAAAAAUGAAAACAUAAUACAAUGAACAAGGGAAAACUUACUUCUGAUCAUGCCUUGCUAGAAGACCAUCACGGACCCACUUGUCAUAUUCUUGAAUGAGUAACAUAGGAUGUGGCCCCGUUAUUGGAUCUUCCUCAAACGGGUGUCUUUUCUCAAAUAUGGGUGUCAACUUUACGGAGGAACAUGCUGUAAAUAUAAUUUCUGUUUAUUGAGUACUAUAAAUGAUUCAAUAACGAUGAAUGCUGAUCAACUUUACGGAGGAACAUGCUGUAAAUUCAAUUUGUGUUUAUUGAGUACUAUAAAUGAUCCAAUCACGAUGAAUGCUGAAUAUUACGUUUGUAAAAUCACUUACCUCCUGAGUCGAAGUUAGAGUGAUAAGGCGAAGAGUUCCAUCUACUUGGUCGCCUAUUUCGUUGAGGUUUCACUGGUGUGGCUUCAACUUUUUUCGCACUUGCAUGAACAACUAUUCUAGUUUCUGGAAUUUGACUGGGUAGAAACUUGUCGUCAGUGCAAAUUGAGAAACAUAGAAUUCUUUAGGUACCUCAUCUUGAUUUGUGGUAGAUGGUAUGAUGGACGGUGCCUCUGGAGUAGUUUGCUGGUAGUUGUAUGUAUCAUUGUUAGGAAUGUAACUUAAUGUUAGAAAUAAGAUUAAAUGCAUAUAAGUUGCUAGUAUACAUUACAAAGAGGUACAAAAAAGAUAUAAAUGCAGAAUUGAUAUUGACGCUGUUGAAAUGAAACUACAUAUCUCUUUGAAUAGAGCAGAAUACACCCAACAUACAUGUAAAUAUAACGAAAUAAAGAUACUAUAGAAGAAAAAGAACACACUAUACAAAGAUAUACAAAAAUACAAAAAGAAAUAUAUGAAUACAACAUAAUACAUGUAACAAUGUGAUUAGGUAUAAAUGGAGUUGAAUUGAAACUCUCGAUUAAUGCAGAAUACAGAAGAAUAGACCCAAAUACAUGUAAAUACAACAUGAAAAAGCUACAUUAGAAGAAGUAAACAAACUAUAAAUACACUAUACAAAGAGGUAAAAAAAAUACAAGAAGAAACAUAUGAAUAUAAAGGAAUACAUGUAACAUUUAGAUUAGAUAUAAAUGCAGAUGAAAUAAAACUGCAGAUUAUUGCCGAAUACAGCAGAAUACUCCCCCAAAUAAAUGUAAAUACAGCAAAAUAGAGUGGCUAUAUUAAAACAGUUAUCAAUAUAGCUAAAUAUAUAUGUUCAGUAUCUUAACUUGGGGUAUACCUCAUGAUUUUCUCCGACAUCUGGGUCAAUGCCAACAUCAUUUCUCAUUGUAGGUUCAGUUUGCUGAUUUGGUUGAAGACGGUCUGAAAGCAUCCUGAAGUUAUCAUUGAUCAAUGUCCUUAGAGACUUGAACUCUCCAACAACCUUAACAAGACAAAAUAGUUAGAAAAGUACUAACACACAUAGCUAUCAAACUUUAUUGAAGAUAAUGGGUGGGUAUCACGUAUUCUUUGAAUACUUUUAGUUCUUGCCUCAAAGAAGAUACUUCAUCAUUUUGGCCUUUGGGGCGCUGAUGGUCAUGAAAAAGUUUAUGUCCACUUUCAGAAACACAAACAGGAGGAAGUUUGGGCUGAUAUUCUGGUUCUUUUGUAGGAAUCUUGGGUUGUUCCUUGAACUUCUUAUGUGGCGGUGAUGAAGAUGGACCAACACUUUCAACAAGUUUCUUCUUAGAUUGAAGAUUGGGUGUAGGAUAAAAGUCAUCCACAUCCUGUCUCGAUUUUUCUGAAUGCGCAGGAGUAUGUAUUUCUCAACAUCGGGGCACACUUGAGGAAUCUGAAUAACAGCAAGCUCUACAUCAAGAGGAGUGAUGUCCUCAGAACACAAUCUGAGAACAAAAAAUAAGAUAAGACUUACAGGGUACAUAUUAAAAUAUAAUUGUAUAAUAUUGUAUUCACGUGUAUUUAACUCUGAUGUAUUUAGAUAUAGUAAAUUGUAUUCAUAUGUAUGCAUUAUUCAUGUAUGUAGGUCUUUGCAUCCAGUGUAUAUUACAGUAGGCUUCUCCUCUAACUAAAUGCAAAUGUAUGCAAACUAUAGGUGUAUUUGUGUUCAAUUAUCUUCAGAAUAAUGAUAAGAUUUGGAUAUUACCGUGUUUCCGGUGUCUUUGAACAUGCCGUUCAUCAAAUAAGAAAAUGUUGGCUAAUUUCCGAUGGUUUUCCAAUUGAGUAUUCUGGGGAGCACAUCGUCGACUCGGAAUGCAAUUUUGGAAUCAACAGAAGAACAACACUCAUAAAACCAGACCUGCAUAGCUAGGGGCAUCCCAGCGAUCAUGUAAUACUUCUUUACAACAUCAAACUUCUUGCUAAUCGAGUUUAUCAACAGCUCAAAUGCGCUUAUACCCAAUGAUAUUCGGAAUAGCGCCCACUCUCUACUACGUCAAAAUGUAGCCUCGGUAUAGUUGCACUAUUCUGCUCAGAUGAAAAUAUGAAGGUGUGGAUGAAAUACAACAAAGAAAUCUUCAAAGCAUCCUCAUCAUUGUCGGGACCCCAUGCCUUGUUAUUGAAGUAUUCUCUCAAUUGCCUCUUCUUUACAAUGUUAGCACUUCCAAAAUAAGUCAGAAUAAGCCUGUUUGGAGGAGUUUCGUGAAACUCAAAAUCUUGAUCUUUACCGACACAUUUGAGGCCAGUAACAAGAGCAAACUCCUUUAAGGUGAAAUGUAAUACAGUACCAAUAACGUAUACUUCAAGAACAUUGUUUGGAGUGCCAUUUAACUGUCUAGACAUGAAGCAUCUAAAGAGUUGAUGUUGAACAUCAAAUCGCUUCAUUCGAAGAAAUGAUCCAAAGCAUGUAUUCUCGAAUUGUUGCAACUGAUCGGGAGUAAGCAUUUGUCUUAGGUGUGAGACUAUAUCAGUGUUGGUGUAUCUACUGAUAUGGGGAGCUAAUUUGGGCUGUUGUUUCACAAACAAAUCAAUUCCCUGCAAUGAACAUUGUAAAAUACAUGUGAAUACAUAUGAAUACAUCAAAAAGACAUUUUAAGUUUUGUUUGAAUACAUUUAAUACAUGAUACAGUGAUAAGGAUAAAUCGCUUUUCAGACAACUACAAACAUAUAUACUACCAUAUGCUAAGAUACUUUGUAACAUACAGAUAUAAUACAAAGUAUUUUUGGAUGAAUAUACAUGAAUACAUAUGAAUGCUAAUGAAUACAUUUGAGGUCAAACUAGAUAAUUGAAUUAGCACAAUAUACAGUAACACACACUAAAUACACCAAAAUACAUAUGAAUGCAGAUAAAAUUUCAUUACAUAGAACUACUGGAAACAACCAAAUAAACACGAAUACAUAUGAAUACUAUUGAAGAAACAGAAUACACUAUACCAAAAAGGUUCAAAAAUACAAGAAGAUACAUUUGAAUACAACAGAAUACAUGUAAGAAAUACAAGUUACCUUUUAAUUUCUUGAAUCUUUUGCAGCUUUUUUCCUCUUUGCGCCAACUUGAAUAUUGGUUUCUUUUGAAGUUUCGUCAACUUGAACUGCUUUCAACUUGUCAUUUUGUAUUUUACUUCUUCUUUCGUCAACUUUGGAUGCCGAUACACCUGCAAAAUCUUUCUCCGCUUGAGUUAGUUGCAACGAGAAAGAAGGCCCAUCAAAAUUGAGAAUUUUGGUGGGUAUACCUCUAGGUGGUCUGUGGAUUGGGUUGGCUUCCGACAUUAUAGAGAAAACUCAAAAUAUCGUGGUGAUGAACAAAUAAAAUGGAAGAUAUAUCAGAAAAUUGUGUAAAUUCGAUACAAAAAUUAGAGAAACAAACUAAUGAAAAUGCAAUUUCGACCUACUUUAAUUUUAGGAUUGAACUAAAUUUAAACUUUUUGCUAUAAACUAAAAAGGGUAUUUAUAGAUUGUAAUAUUUUAAAAGGGUGUUUAUAGAAUAUAAAUAGGGUACUAACCUAUUCUAUAGGUGGUAAAAUUUCCUUGAAAAAUAGCCUGCAUUUGUAAAAUAAUUAAAAAAUAGUCAUUAUUUUGCUGCAACACGGAUAAUUCUGGCAAAAUAUACUCGAUAUUGGUGUACCUAUAUGUGAACUUCCAGCAUAAUAUGUUAGAACUCCAACACACGGAAAGUUUCAGCAUAAUAUACUUGAGAUUGGCGUACCUAUGUAUGAACUUCCAGCAUAUUAUGCUGGAUCGGUAUAUUAUGCUGGAACUCCAGUAUAUUAUGCUGGAAUAUUUUUCUGAUUUUGAAUAGUGUUUUCGCUCAGAUUUAUCUUUAUAUGAAAAGUGGCUAGAUUUCAAUUACUUUUGAAACAAUGGCUAUUUUUCAACUACUACUUGUAAAUCUAACUAUUUUUUAAUUUCACCAAAAAUCAAUAAUAACCUGAUUUACAACCGAUAAUUGAAAAAUAUCCAUAGUUUUAAAAGUUAUCGAAAUUAGUUGCUUUUUCAUGUAAAGGUAAAAUCUGAACAAAAACACUCUUAAAAUCCAAAAAAAUUGCAACAUAAUAUGCUGAAGUUCAAAUUUUUUACAUAUCAGAUUCAAGCAUAAUAUGCUGGAAUAUUAUAAUGUGCUGAAAUUCUAACACAAUAGGCUAGAAGUUUAUAUGCUUAAGUUCCAUAAUCCAGCAUAUUGUGCUGGAGCUUACCCUGUUUCGGCUAAAUAAUAGCUAUUUUUCCAUGACUUUAUAAAUACUGACUAUUUUUCGAUUACUAAUCCGAAAACUAGCUAGCCCAUGUUAUUUUCACCAAGUGUCGGAAGACGAGACCGAGCAGCAAGGCCAUGAUCCACAGAUGAACAGAUCACUUAUUCAAACAUCACACACCCGCCAUUAAAUAAUAUUUUAGUAAUUGAAGUUAGGGGUGUGCGUUCGAACCGGUUUAUCGAUAAAUCGAAUCGAUUAUUUGUAAUUGGUUUAUCGAUAUCGGUUUAUCGAUUUCGAUUUCGAUUUCAAAAUUUUCCUUAUCGAGUUAUCGAUUUCGAUUUCGAUUUUGUCCUCUUCGGUUAUCGGUUUAUUCAUAAACCGAUAAGAUAUAUUAAUUUUUUUAACUCUUAUUCUAUAGUACCCUUUCCUUUACCCUAAGUAUCUAACCCUAUUAUUUCAUCUACCACAUUUAAGGAAUGAUCAUAUUUAAAGCUCAAUGGAAUGAAGUUCAAGUUAAUGGAAAAUAGAAUUAGCCGUGAUGAUGUAUUUUUUCUAUACCGUUGGCAUGUUGGUGACAUAUAUUUGAUCCCUUACUUUAGUUUCGUUGCAUGUGCUUGUUGACAUAAUUUUUAUGUUAUAGAUGGUGUUCGUCUUAUUUUAGCUUUUCUUGUCCAUAUUAGUUGGCUGUGUUUAUAGCGAUAUACUUUCCGUGAAAUCCCGCAAAUUUUCUUAUUGAUGUAAAUGAUAAUCGAAUCGAUAAAUCGAAAUCGAAAAAAUCGAAACCUAAUUGAAACGAUAACGAUAAGCAUAUGUACAAAUCGAUAAUCAAUAAAUAACUAUCGAUAAUGGUCAAAAUCGAAUGCACACCCCUAAUUAAAUAAUUGAAGUUACUGAAAAUCAGGGGCUGAAAAGGAAAAAUUGAAUCUAAAAAAGUAGUGUUUAAGAGUAGUGUAAUUAAGUGAAAUUCGUUCUGUAUUGUACAAGAAAAGAAUUACAUUUGUGUAUGUGCUCUCAAUAAAGAAUUAAAACAAUUUCGUGCCUUCUUUGUUCUUUAGCUGUAGACAACAUGAACUUUUGCUGAUUUUUUAAGUGAAAACAAGAUAGAUGAAGAAAUAUACACAUUUACACUAACCCUUAAGAACCAAAAAUGGAUAACAUAGAAAACCACUGAUUACUGACCCUGCUAGUCUCAUUUCAAAAGCAAAGCUCCCAAAUCCUAUCAAGACAUGUAGUUCCACAGAAGUGUAACGAAUGAAGCUGCAUACAAACUAAGCAGUACACCAAAAUUUUCUUCAUUAUCUACAGAAAAUAGCAAUGUUAAAUCAAGCAUAUGUUUGUCACUCCCAAGCAUUUUCUCUUACUAGUGCUCUGUCCUAUUCAGUUUUACCCAUAAUUGGGUUAUUCAAUUCUGUACAAUGAUGGUCAACAAUAUGAGACAAAGACUUGAAUGAGUGAUUGCUCCUUGUGUAUCAGUAACGUCAGUUUCCUGGCUUCUUGACUUCCUUGCAUUGGUGCGCAACCUGUGCAGCUAUGGCACCAAAGUGCACAAAGAAUUGUCGACUAAUCUCCACGAUGAGGUGGUGUGAAUCCUAUACAUCGAUUAAGAUUUUCGAUGGAUGCAAAUGACCUUGUUUGUCAGCAGUAAAGAACCUCCAAAUUCCAUUCCCUUUCCUUUCUCCACCUGUCGAGACCUACAGAGACUACAGAAGCUCAUUGUAGCAACAAAUCCUCGUCUCUCUGCAAUUGCUUGAGCCUCCUUUUUGCAUAUACAGUGAUCAACACCGUUGUAGCAACAGUGAAACUAAAUCCAAGAACAUUAAGAAUAAUCUGUGGAGCUGACAAAAAACGUUGCUCUUGCGAAGCAUUUGCAAGAGUCUUUAUCAGGAUGCCACUGCAAAGAAAGUUGGAAGAAAACGUAUUCACCAAGUGAAACUUUUAAUGAUGAAUAUGAGAUUAUGUAUUGUAGUGGAGCAGCAUACACCGAAUGAAACCCUCUUAAAAUUACUAAAGGUCUGCUUUGUAUUCAGUUUGCUUUCUCCCUGAAAAACCAACAAAAAUCCAAAAGCUCAAAACCAUGGAGCUCUUCCCAUCUCACUGCACCCCUCCCGUGAUCCCCUUCCAUUACACCCCUCCAAAGCAAUAGUAUAGAGGAAAGGAACCAAAACUCAAAGAAUCACGGACAAGCAGAGUACAAAUCGAGAAAGGUAAUAAGACUUAUGCUAAUAGAAAUACAGAAAGUGUCGAAUUCAAAAACUCUAGAAAAGAAGCCAGGAGAAGACAAAAAUUCUACUACGUCCCUCCAAAGCAAUAGUAUAGCGGAAAGGAACCAAAACUCAAAGAAUCACAGACAAGCAGAGUACAAAUCGAGAAAGGCAAUAAGACUUAUGCUAAUAGGAAUACAGAAAGUGUCGAAUUCAAAAACUCUACCAAAGAAGCCAGGAGAAGACAAAAAAAUCAAUUGCUUUAUUCUAAAAGCAUGUAUUCAUGGGACUACAACUACCUUAAAAGGAUUUAACUAGAGAAUUCUCCACCAUUUUUUUCUUGUAUAAAUAUGUCAGCCGAAUGAUUCCCAGUCACAAGCUACUGUUUUUGUCUCCACACUUUGUGCCACUCACUCAAAUUUAACAGUCAUAUGAAGAACCAUUGUUGUCAAUGUGAGCCCUUCCUUUCAAUUAACUACUGAUUAUUUAUGGGUUUUGGAAACACUUUAAAGUGUUUAAUUAGACUUAUAAACUUUAGUUACAGCCACGAAAAUGAAUCUUUUUUUUUAAUUAUCACAUCGCAAUUCACUUUCAUAAUAUAUUUAAUUAAAAAAGGACAAGAAGGGCAGCCCGGUGCACUAAGCUCCCGCUAUGCGCAGGGUCCGGGGAAAGGCCGGACCACAAGGGUCUCUAUCGAAUAAAAAAAUUGAUUUGUGCCUGCCUCCAAGUCCAUCUGAGCAUAUAGUUAAUUUCUCAUGUUCUAUAUGCAAAGGCAAAAGCUAAAACAUUUUCCACAAUAUGUAAAAUACAACAAAAAUUAUAAAUUACUGUUUUUGAAACAUGAAACAAAAGUUGCAACAUUAUCCACAACCCUGUCUAUGAUAUUGCAUGCAUACAAUGACUAUCUUUGAAUUGUCUUCUCCCCCCACCCACCCCGUCCCAUGAAGGGAGAAAAAUAUAGAACUAAUCUAAGAAAUUUAACACCAUUGAAGGUCGUAACAGAAGCAGAGUGCAAAAACAAGUUAGCAGAAGCGAGGGGGAAGAACAAUAUAGAAUAAUGCAAGAGAUGAUCUAUGACAGCAAGAAAAUGAAAAGCCUAACUUAGCUUUUCAAACAAAAAAGAAAUGACAGAAUAAAAAGCCAAGCAUGAGCAUCCUACAGCAUACAGUCCCCCUAAUGCCAAUAAUAAAAUAGAACAAGUAGGGUACUGAUUACAUUCAUGUCUAGAGCUUUUAGUUCAGCAAUGUCUAUCUUACCGCAAAAGGACAAUCUUACCGCCAAACUAUGUAGAUCAUAGGACAAGAGGGGUUGCUCUAAUGGUAAGCAACCCCCACUUCCAACCGAGAGGCUGUGAGUUCGAGUCUUCCCAAGAGCAAGGUGGGAAGUUCUUGGAGGAAAGGAUGUCGGGGGUCUAUUUGGAAACAGCCUCUCUACCNNNNNNNNNNNNNNNNNNNNNNNNNNNNNNNNNNNNNNNNNNNNNNNNNNNNNNNNNNNNNNNNNNNNNNNNNNNNAGACGUCACUAAGUGAGAUUAUACUGGAUAAUUGUUAUUAUUGUUGUAAGGUUCUAUUUGGAAACAGGCUCUCUACCCCAGGAUAGGGGUAAGGUCUGCGUACAUACUACCCUCCCCAAACCCCACUAAGUGGGAUUAAACUGGGUUGUUGUUGUUGUUGUUGAACUAUGUAGAUCACAAGGAACUUUAGUUUGUUCCCUGUCGUAUUCUUCAGCGUAAAUUAUUUUUAAUUUUUGACUAACGGCAUAGUUAAUCAAACAAAAACCAAAUUCAUGAAGCUGAACAACAGGAAGAAGUAGCUUUUUCUCACUAUUCAAUUUCGUUUUUUCAAUAUCCUGCAAUGAUCUUCACUUGUCAGUGGCUAAGUCAAAACUAUAUCGCAGCAGAGAAAAGGAAAAGGCGCCCUAAACAAAUUUUCCACCAGCAUCAAACAAAGUUAUGCAGACACAUCGAACAUGCUAGGAAAGCUUACUAACACCUCAAAUUGCUACUACAGACCAACUCAAGCAUUAACCAGUUCGAUUAUAACAUAACUUGGAGAAGAACAAUUGACAUUCUAUCCACAUGCAUAUAAUCUCCUUCCACACCAAUGAACAGAUCCCAACUAGAGAAACCAAUGUAGGUAUACAAGACUAGAAAAAGAUAGUGGUGCAACCUCAUUGAGCACCACAUUUGCAUUGUCAGACAUCAGAGCUAAACUACCUAUCUUUGAAUGUAAAGUGUAUAAGCUUCACAUUGAGUCAGUCAUCAGCCUUAGAACAAGAGAACUGAUGCAAGUCAACAUUCAUUUUUCAAGGAAAAUAGCAUUCAGUAGAGUAUCCAGAUGUUCACAUAUAUGGUUCAACAGAAAGCUUGUUUUUAUUUUCUAGAAAUAGAGGUAUGGCGCGGGGCGA